AUGGACGACGACUUUUUUGGGGUUGAUUUGAACAAUAUUCAUUACAAUGAUUUAUCUGAUGCUAGAUAUUAUUGUGAUGAAGAUGUUAAUGAUGUUGUAUCUAGUGCUCAUCAAAGUUUAAAUGAUGAAGAUGAUUGUGAUAAUGACGAUGAUGAGGGUAUGAAAAAUGUAAAGAUUUUUCCAUUAAGAAAAGCGAUGUUAGGCGAAGAGGGCUCGAAAGUAGUGAAAUAG